UGGCUCAGUGGUAGAGUGCUUGCCUAGCAUGCAUGAGGCACUGGGUUCGAUCCUCAG
rnacentral:tRNA from 1 species